AGAGUUUGAUCAUGGCUCAGAAUCAACGCUGGCGGCGUGCCUAACACAUGCAAGUCGCACGAGAAAGUGGAGCAAUCCAUGAGUAAAGUGGCGCACGGGUGAGUAACACGUGAAUGAUCUACCUCCGAGUGGGGAAUAACUGAGAGAAAUCUUAGCUAAUACCGCAUAACACUUACGAGUCAAAGCAGCAAUGCGCUUGGAGAGGAGUUCGCGGCCGAUUAGUUAGUUGGCGGGGUAAUGGCCCACCAAGACGAUGAUCGGUAUCCGGCCUGAGAGGGCGCACGGACACACUGGAACUGAAACACGGUCCAGACUCCUACGGGAGGCAGCAGUGGGGAAUUUUGCGCAAUGGGGGAAACCCUGACGCAGCAACGCCGCGUGGAGGAUGAAAUAUCUUGGUAUGUAAACUCCUUUCGAUGGGGAAGAUUAUGACGGUACCCAUAGAAGAAGCCCCGGCUAACUUCGUGCCAGCAGUCGCGGUAAUACGAGGGGGGCAAGCGUUGUUCGGAAUUAUUGGGCGUAAAGGGUGCGUAGGCGGUUUGGCAAGUCUUAUGUGAAAUCUCUGGGCUCAACCCAGAGUCUGCAUGAGAAACUGCCGGGCUUGAGUAUGGGAGAGGUGAGUGGAAUUUCCGGUGUAGCGGUGAAAUGCGUAGAUAUCGGAAGGAACACCUGUGGCGAAAGCGGCUCACUGGACCAUUACUGACGCUGAUGCACGAAAGCUAGGGGAGCAAACAGGAUUAGAUACCCUAGUAGUCC
rnacentral:rRNA from 1 species